AAUACUUAAUUCUGCCUGAAUCACCCCUUCUUAGUGUUCAGAGAUCUCUCUUGGCGAAGAAUUAGAGGUGUAAGAUUAUAAAACAGUGUCGAGCCGGGUUCUCAGGCUUGACUAAGCAAACUCCAAAUGAGCAGAUCUCAAAAUAAUCCCCGAAUUCUCGACUUUGGGGCUGGAAACUGACAGAUGUUAUUACGAAUUCCAUUCGAUGCAGUGGAUAUUUAUGAACCAUCUACCGUCCCAUAAAUCCAAUAAACUGAUGAAGGAGCUCCGCUGCGCAGGGCUGUGGGAAGGGAAGAAAAGACUUUGGGGAUGUCAUGAAAUCCGUCUUCAAAUAUUUGAAGGAUUGACUCUGGAAAGGGGAAUCAGCCUGGACCUGUUUGGCCCCAGAGGGGAAAACCAGGAGCCUGGGGUUGGAGAUGAGAAAAUUGAGACCUGGGAGCUGUGAUAGUGACUAGUCCAAGGCCACGUGGAUCAAGAAAUGUCAAAGGCAAGAUUUGCAUCCUACCUCUGACUCCAGAGCCAGUGUUUUUCUCAGUUUAACAUAAUUAAAAAAAAUCUAUUCAAG
rnacentral:lncRNA from 1 species